GAUGAACGCUGGCGGCGUGCUUAAUACAUGCAAGUCGAACGGAAAGGCCCUGCGCUUGUGGGGUUCUCGUUUGGCGAACGGGGGAGUAACACGCGAGUAUCCUGCCCCUGACUUUGGGAUAACUCUUCGAAACUGGGGCUAAUAUCGCAUAGGAGCUCCUGCUGCACGGGGGGGGUUGGAAAGUGUCGGCGGUUGGGGAUGGACUCGCGGCUUACGAGCUUGUUGGGGGGGUAGGGGCUUACCAAGGCUUUGACGGGUAGCCGGCCUGAGAGGGUGACCGGCCACAUUGGGACUGAGAUACGGCGCAGACUCCUACGGGAGGCAGCAGUGGGGAAUAUUGCACAAUGGGCGGAAGCCUGAUGCGGCAACGCCGCGUGCGGGAUGACGGCCUUCGGGUUGUAAACCGCUUUCGCCUGUGACGAAGCGUGAGUGACGGUAAUGGGUAAAGAAGCACCGGCUAACUACGUG
rnacentral:rRNA from 1 species